AUAUUACUCUCUCUCGCGCCCUCGCCGGAAAAUCCCCACCAAUCUUCUCUUCCAUUUCUUUAAUUCUUCUUUUCCGUCUAACAGAUCUCAAUUAAUGGCCGGCAGAGGCAAAACCCUAGGAUCCGGAGCCGCCAAGAAGGCCACCUCCAGGAGUAGUAAAGCCGGGUUGCAGUUUCCCGUCGGUCGAAUUGCUCGUUUCCUCAAGGCCGGUAAGUACGCCGAGCGUGUCGGUGCGGGUGCUCCGGUCUAUCUUGCUGCUGUGCUUGAAUACCUCGCCGCUGAGGUUUUGGAACUCGCUGGAAACGCUGCUAGGGAUAACAAGAAGACGCGUAUUGUUCCUCGUCAUAUUCAGCUUGCUGUACGUAACGAUGAGGAGCUCAGCAAGCUUUUGGGUGAUGUGACUAUUGCUAACGGUGGUGUUAUGCCCAACAUUCACAAUCUGCUUCUGCCCAAGAAAACAGGGACUUCAUCGAAGAAUGCUGGUGGUGAUGAUGAACCCUAGAUUUGUUUGUAACAGAAACGAAUGAACUGAAUCAUUGAAAUGUUG
rnacentral:misc_RNA from 1 species